rnacentral:rRNA from 1 species
GUCGAGCGAACGGACGAGAAGCUUGCUUCUCUGAUGUUAGCGGCGGACGGGUGAGUAACACGUGGAUAACCUACCUAUAAGACUGGGAUAACUUCGGGAAACCGGAGCUAAUACCGGAUAAUAUUUUGAACCGCAUGGUUCAAAAGUGAAAGACGGUCUUGCUGUCACUUAUAGAUGGAUCCGCGCUGCAUUAGCUAGUUGGUAAGGUAACGGCUUACCAAGGCAACGAUGCAUAGCCGACCUGAGAGGGUGAUCGGCCACACUGGAACUGAGACACGGUCCAGACUCCUACGGGAGGCAGCAGUAGGGAAUCUUCCGCAAUGGGCGAAAGCCUGACGGAGCAACGCCGCGUGAGUGAUGAAGGUCUUCGGAUCGUAAAACUCUGUUAUUAGGGAAGAACAUAUGUGUAAGUAACUGUGCACAUCUUGACGGUACCUAAUCAGAAAGCCACGGCUAACUACGUGCCAGCAGCCGCGGUAAUACGUAGGUGGCAAGCGUUAUCCGGAAUUAUUGGGCGUAAAGCGCGCGUAGGCGGUUUUUUAAGUCUGAUGUGAAAGCCCACGGCUCAACCGUGGAGGGUCAUUGGAAACUGGAAAACUUGAGUGCAGAAGAGGAAAGUGGAAUUCCAUGUGUAGCGGUGAAAUGCGCAGAGAUAUGGAGGAACACCAGUGGCGAAGGCGACUUUCUGGUCUGUAACUGACGCUGAUGUGCGAAAGUG